UACGAAGGGGGCUAGCGUUGUUCGGAAUCACUGGGCGUAAAGCGCACGUAGGCGGAUCCUUAAGUCAGGGGUGAAAUCCCGAGGCUCAACCUCGGAACUGCCUUUGAUACUGGGGAUCUUGAGUCCGGGAGAGGUGAGUGGAAUUGCGAGUGUAGAGGUGAAAUUCGUAGAUAUUCGCAAGAACACCAGUGGCGAAGGCGGCUCACUGGCCCGGUACUGACGCUGAGGUGCGAAAGCGUGGGGAGCAAACAGG
rnacentral:rRNA from 1 species